GGGCCGUUAGCUCAGUAGGUAGAGCAUCGCCCUUUGAAGGCGGUGGUCGGAGGUUCGAAUCCUGCACGGCUCA
rnacentral:tRNA from 1 species